UGGGGAAUAUUGCGCAAUGGGCGAAAGCCUGACGCAGCAACGCCGUGUGAGGGAUGAAGGCUUUCGGGUCGUAAACCUCUGCCAGAAGGGAAGAACGGGUGAGGGUCUAACAGGCCUUUAUUUUGACGGUACCUUCAGAGGAAGCACCGGCUAACUCCGUGCCAGCAGCCGCGGUAAUACGGAGGGUGCAAGCGUUAUUCGGAAUUACUGGGCGUAAAGCGCACGUAGGCGGCCUUGUAAGUCAGGGGUGAAAUCCCACGGCUCAACCGUGGAACUGCCCUUGAAACUGCGGGGCUUGAAUCCUGGAGAGGGUGGCGGAAUUCCUGGUGUAGGAGUGAAAUCCGUAGAUAUCAGGAGGAACACCGGUGGCGAAGGCGGCCACCUGGACAGGCAUUGACGCUGAGGUGCGAAAGUGUGGGGAGCAAACAGG
rnacentral:rRNA from 1 species